GAUCCUGGCUCAGGACGAACGCUGGCGGCGUGCCUAAUACAUGCAAGUCGAGCGGACCUGUUUUGGAGCUUGCUUCAGACAGGUUAGCGGCGGACGGGUGAGUAACACGUAGGCAACCUGCCCGCAAGACCGGGAUAACGUAGGGGAAACUUACGCUAAUACCGGAUAGGGCACCUUCUCGCAUGAGAGGGUGCGGAAAGGUGGCGCAAGCUACCACUUGCGGAUGGGCCUGCGGCGCAUUAG
rnacentral:rRNA from 1 species